rnacentral:pre_miRNA from 1 species
UUAACGCAAAUUUAUAUGGAAUUGGAACAUUAGCUUACGUUUGCCACUAGGGGCGUUGAUUCAACUCCAUUCAAAUUUGAGUUA